rnacentral:SRP_RNA from 1 species
CCGUGCUAGGUGGGGAACUAGCGGUGCCCUGCACCCGCAAUCCGCUACAGCGGGACUGAAUCCCCGGCUGAGGCCGACCUGCCUCCGUCUCCCACGACAUCGACCGACGUUGAGAGUCGGGUCCCACGCAGCGAGGGUCCGUGAACCCCGUCAGGUCCGGAAGGAAGCAGCGGUAAGCGACCGCCUUCGGGUGCCGUGGGACGACCUGGCUGGAGCCGGAUGAUGCACGCGUGUGCGGGGAGCGGUCGGACGACGCCGGGUGCACGG